rnacentral:rRNA from 1 species
UACGGAGGGGGCAAGUGUUGUUCGGAAUUACUGGGCGUAAAGGGCGCGCAGGCGGCUUGGCAAGUCGAGUGUGAAAUACCCCAGCUUAACUGGGGAAUGGCAAUGGAAACUGGCGGGCUGGAGUGUGGCAGAGGGGGGUGGAAUUCCGCGUGUAGCAGUGAAAUGCGUAGAGAUGCGGAGGAACACCGAUGGCGAAGGCAGCCCCCUGGGCUAGCACUGACGCUCAGGCACGAAAGCGUGGGGAGCAAACAGG